CAUAAGAAAGACUAAGGGUAAGUCGUCGGGCUCAUGCCCCGAAAAAGUGAGUUCAAGUCUCACUCUUAUGA
rnacentral:tRNA from 3 species